rnacentral:antisense_RNA from 2 species
UGUGGGAGCGAGCUUGCUCGCGAUGAGGGCGUGUCAGUCGACAUUUUUGUUGAAUGUGACUCCGCAAUCGCGAGCAAGCUCGCUCCCACA